AUUGAACGCUGGCGGCAGGCCUAACACAUGCAAGUCGAACGCGUGGCGGACGGGCGAGUCAUGUCUGGGAAACUGCCCGAUGGAGGGGGAUAACUACUGGAAACGGUAGCUAAUACCGCAUACCAUCGGAUGUGCCCAGAUGGGAUUAGCUAGUAGGUGGGGUAAUGGCUCACCUAGGCGACGAGCCCUAGCUGGUCGUAGAGGCGGACAGGCCACACUGGAAGUGAGACACGGUCCAGACGCCUACGAGAGGCAGCAGUGGGGAAUAUUGCACAAUGGGCGCAAGCCUGAUACAGCCAUGCCGCGUGUAUGAAGAAGGCCUUCGGGUUGUAAAGUCCUUUCAGCGAGGAGGCGUUACUCGCAGAAGAAGCACCGGCUAACUCCGUGCCAGCCGCCGCGGUAAUAC
rnacentral:rRNA from 1 species